UACGGGGGGGGCAAGCGUUGUUCGGAAUUACUGGGCGUAAAGAGCGUGUAGGCGGCCAGGUAGGUCCGUUGUGAAAACUCGAGGCUCAACCUCGAGACGCCGAUGGAAACCAUCUGGCUAGAGUCCGGAAGAGGAGAGUGGAAUUCCCGGUGUAGCGGUGAAAUGCGCAGAUAUCAGGAGGAACACCGGUGGCGAAGGCGGGUCUCUGGGCCGAUACUGACGCUGGAGGAGCGAAAGCGUGGGGAGCAAACAGG
rnacentral:rRNA from 1 species